rnacentral:rRNA from 1 species
GACGAACGCUGGCGGCGUGCUUAACACAUGCAAGUCGAACGGAAAGGCCCUGCUUUUGUGGGGUGCUCGAGUGGCGAACGGGUGAGUAACACGUGAGUAACCUGCCCUUGACUUUGGGAUAACUUCAGGAAACUGGGGCUAAUACCGGAUAGGAGCUCCUGCUGCAUGGUGGGGGUUGGAAAGUUUCGGCGGUUGGGGAUGGACUCGCGGCUUAUCAGCUUGUUGGUGGGAUAGUGGCUUACCAAGGCUUUGACGGGUAGCCGGUCUGAGAGGGUGACCGGCCACAUUGGGACUGAGAUACGGCCCAGACUCCUACGGGAGGCAGCAGCGGGGAAUAUUGCACAAUGGGCGGAAGCCUGAUGCAGCAACGCCGCGUGCGGGAUGACGGCCUUCGGGUUGUAAACCGCUUUCGCCUGUGACGAAGCGUGAGUGACGGUAAUGGGUAAAGAAGCACCGGCUAACUACGUG